CAAGCUGUGAUGGGGAGGGAAAUAAUAGUACCGAAGUUCCUGAUGUCACACUGCCGAGAAAAGCUUCUAGUGAGAAAACAGCGGCCCGUACCGCAAACCGACACAGGUAGUCGAGGAGAGAAUCCUAAGGUGAGCGAGAGAACUCUCGUUAAGGAACUCGGCAAAAUGACCCCGUAACUUCGGGAGAAGGGGUGCUGAUCAUACGAUCAGCCGCAGUGAAUAGGCCCAAGCGACUGUUUAUCAAAAACACAGGUCUCUGCAAAAUCGUAAGAUGAAGUAUAGGGGCUGACGCCUGCCCGGUGCUGGAAGGUUAAGAGGAGUGCUUAGCGCAAGCGAAGGUACGAAUUGAAGCCCCAGUAAACGGCGGCCGUAACUAUAACGGUCCUAAGGUAGCGAAAUUCCUUGUCGGGUAAGUUCCGACCCGCACGAAAGGCGUAACGAUUUGGGCACUGUCUCAACGAGAGACUCGGUGAAAUUUUAGUACCUGUGAAGAUGCAGGUUACCCGCGACAGGACGGAAAGACCCCAUGGAGCUUUACUGUAGUUUGAUAUUGAGUGUCUGUACCGCAUGUACAGGAUAGGUAGGAGCCGUAGAAAUCGGAACGCUAGUUUCGAUGGAGGCGC
rnacentral:rRNA from 1 species